GCACCAUUUAGCCGGGCUGCUCUCCGGAGGCAGAGGUCAGAGGUUCGAAUCCUCUCGGGUGCGCCA
rnacentral:tRNA from 1 species